CUAGAAGAAAACACGCGCAUAGAUGGCUCUGUUCCUUCUCCUAGAAUCUUCUUUCCUUUUGGAAAUAGGUAAGGUUUUUUCGUUGAUAUUUUUCUUUUACUCUUCACCUCUUUCAUUGUUUCUCUCUGCAACUCUUCACCUCUUUAGAAACCCUACAAUCAUCUUAUUCACGAUUCAUCUUAUCCUCCAAUCCAUCACCUUCUUCAAUUGAAUACUGGCACUCAUAAUCGAUGAAGGAAUACGUGGGGCUGUGGUGGUGCAGAUCUGGUUGGAAAAACGUUUUUAGAUCUGAAUAAUCAGCUUUCUCCACCUGCUGAAACUUAGAAUGAUGGUAGUUCUACAUUUAGUGUUAAUUGUUUGCCAUGGCGGUCUAAUAGACCGAUCUGAGGCAAAUGGCUUGGUCGCAUACUGGGUAAAAAAGACAAGUUCUUAUACAGGUCUUGCUGAAAGAGCUAAACGUUUUAUUUCGCCUUGAUAAAAGAAGAUAGGAUCGGUUUAUGGUAACUUCAAGGAAACAAGGAUAUUUAGAUAAAAAGAAUACUAAUUGAAAAUUGCAGUUCUUUUGAUUGUUUGAUAUGGUAUACAGGUCAUGAAGAUCGAAGUACAAUUCCAAUUGUCAAGUUAAAUGAUGAUAAAAGCCCUCUUCAAAGAACAUUUAUUCAUCAGGUAAUAUCAGACCAAAUUCAUGACACAUUCUGCAAGUGGCUUUGUGUUUUGUUAAUCAGAAACUGCGCAUAUGGGCUCAACUAUUUAUUUAGCCAUAACACAUUCUGCAAGUGGUUUUGUGUUUUGUUUAGUGAUUCUUUUGAUAAUAUAUCUAGAUGUUCACCUACAAUACGUUACCUGUGAUAAGGAAUGUUAGCGGAGGUCUAAACCUAUAAUGUAUAUAGAUUAUAGGUUAAUUUUAUAAGAAUUACAAACUGUUUAUGUAUUGUAUAUAUAUACGUGAUUAUUUUUGGAAUAGUGGAUUAUUAUGUAUGUAUAGUGGCCAUUUUGUGUUAAAUGACUUGGUAGAAACCACCAUAUGGCUUCAAGAAGCUCCAGUUAUAACAGUUUUCAAUAUUU